rnacentral:sRNA from 1 species
AUUUUAAAUAACUAUAAUUAUUGAAUUUUUGUGCAGGAAGAUAUAACGGAGAGUAAUUUUUAAAGAAAUUAUUAAAAUUUAAUGGAAUAUAACUUGUCUGGAUCAAAAAAUUGUUGGUAUCGGAAAAAGGCCCUUUUAUCCCAAAUAUACUCUUGUACGUUGUAGACUUUUUAAUUUUUGGCUGAUCAUAUGAAUAUUCUUUCACAGACCUUUUCACCAUUGCUUAUGCUUCCUAUGAAUACAUCAUGUCAUCAUUGAUAUAAGAAAAGGGUGGAAUUUGCAAGCUCAGUUGAUUAUAGAGCAACCGAAACAAAGAUUUAGAAUUAUGAAAAUUGGGAAUGCAGCAGGAAAUAUCUUUGUUAA